rnacentral:rRNA from 1 species
UGGAUUAGUGGCGAACGGGUGAGUAACACGUGGGCAAUCUGCCCUUCACUCUGGGACAAGCCCUGGAAACGGGGUCUAAUACCGGAUAACACCUGCCCGGGCAUCCGGGUGGGUUAAAAGCUCCGGCGGUGAAGGAUGAGCCCGCGGCCUAUCAGCUUGUUGGUGAGGUAGUGGCUCACCAAGGCGACGACGGGUAGCCGGCCUGAGAGGGCGACCGGCCACACUGGGACUGAGACACGGCCCAGACUCCUACGGGAGGCAGCAGUGGGGAAUAUUGCACAAUGGGCGAAAGCCUGAUGCAGCGACGCCGCGUGAGGGAUGACGGCCUUCGGGUUGUAAACCUCUUUCAGCAGGGAAGAAGCGAAAGUGACGGUACCUGCAGAAGAAGCGCCGGCUAACUACGUGCCAGCAGCCGCGGUAAUACGUAGGGCGCAAGCGUUGUCCGGAAUUAUUGGGCGUAAAGAGCUCGUAGGCGGCUUGUCACGUCGGGUGUG